ensembl:snRNA U2 U2 spliceosomal RNA
AUCGCUUCUUGGCCUUUUGGCUAAGAUCAAGUGUAGAAAACACUUUAUUUAUUUUUUGGUACUGGGGAUCAAACUCGGGACCAUGCACUUGCGGGGCAGGUACCGGAACCACUGAGCUAAAUCCCCGGCCCCCGCUUUAUUUUCUUAAAUGGUUUUACAUUUAUUUUUAAUUUAUUUAUUUUUG